ACUCUGCUACAUAUCUACAUAUUUACCAGAGAGAAGUCUUCUCUCUGUAUUUACAUAGAUCAACAUAGAUCUACAACUACAAGCAAAAGUCUGUCUGCUGUCUGCUUUCAGUCCAUUUCAGUCUGCUACUCUCAGUCUGCUUCAUUGUCUUUUUGAGAACUGAGUCGUCAAGUCAGUAUAUAUCAGUCAAUAUGUUGAACCUAUUGCGUCAGCCAUUACUAAAAUUGUCAGAGUUUGGUAUUAAAAAAUUUGCGGAACCGAUUCCAAAUGGACUCCAAAAAUCAGAUGGAAGAUUUCGACAAUUGAACCAUGCGGCACGCUUUAAUAAAAAGAUUAUACUCAAAAAAGUGGGUGAUUUCAUUUUAGUUGGGACGGCUGUAAUGAUGGCUUCAGUUGUCGGCAUUAUGUCGUUCGCGUACAUUCAAGUAAAGAUGAUGGAUGAUGAUCAAAGAACCAUAUACAAAAAAAAUCAACUAAAAACUGAUGAUAUUGAUAAUAAAAAACAAAGUUAAUCUAGUUUUUUUUUAUUGUAAAGUUAAUCUUUGAAAUUAAUCUUGAUAUAUUAAUUAUUAUUAUUGAUUCUUAUAAUUCUAUUGUUUAUAAUCAUCUCGUAUUAUAAAAAAAAACUAAUUCAAAAAAAAAGAAAUAAAAUAAUCACAAUAAAACAUAAAAUUUAUCAUAAUUAAAUAAUAAAAAUAUUAAGAUAAAAAUUUGAUUAUUAUUUC